rnacentral:antisense_RNA from 1 species
AGUCCACAGGCUCACCCCCACCCUUUCUCAGAGAGCUGGUUUCAUAUGGCUGGAUUCUUUUGUCACAGUCUGCAUUUCAUCCUAGGAUUGUCCUGAUUCCCUAAAUGAAUUGUAUUUUUUUGAGACAGGGUCUGGCAGCCUCGAACCCCUGGAGGCUUAGGUGAUCCUCCCACCUCAGCCCCCAAGUAGCUGGGACCACAGGCUCAGCUAAUUUUUACUUUUUUUUUUUAUUUUGCAGAUAUCAACCUCUCUGUGUUUCCUAGGCUGGUCUCAAACUCCUGGACUCAAGCAAUCCUCCUGCCUUAGCCUCCACAAGUGCUGGGAUUACAGGCAUGAGCAACUGCAUCCAGCUAAACAACCUCUCUUCUUGCAACACUGUUUCCUUGUACCGUUAUCGAUGCUGGGAAAAGAGAAAAGGACAUCAUUUUGCCCUCAGGGAGCUCAUAGUCUAACGGAGAGAGAGACAUGUGAACAACUACAACGUCUAUGGUAUAAGAAAACACUAAAUUGGAGACAUGUUCAAAGUAGUGCAGGGGAGGGAGCGGAGUGAGACUUCCUGGGGUCAUCCAGAAGGGCUUCCCGGCAGGGAACGCUACACUUCCUUAGAAAUUAAGAGUGUGUGCUACACUGCUUUACCAGAGCAAGACCAAAAGCAGCUUCAAUUAUGGUACAACUGUGUGAAGACACAAUGCGAAACCACUCAAGAAUGCUCACUCAAAUGGAUUUUUACCAUGGAACUCGGA